GUCUACGGCCAUGCCACACUGAGCAAGCCCGAUCCCGUCUGAUCUCAGAAGCUAAGCAGGGUUGGGCCUGGUUAGUGCUUGGAUAGGAGACCACUUAGGAAGACCAGGUGCUAUAGGCA
rnacentral:rRNA from 1 species